rnacentral:RNase_P_RNA from 1 species
AGAGCAGACCGGACGGCCGCCUCUUCCGGGCUUUGGCCCGUGAAGGGGAGGAAAGUCCGAACUCCGAAGGGCAGGACGGUCGCUAACAGCGACUCCGCGUGAGCGGAGGAAAGUGCCACAGAAAACAGACGGCCCGGGCGCGCCCGGGUCACGGUGAAAAGGUGGGGUAAGAGCCCACCGCCCCGGUGGUGACACUCGGGGGCACGGUAAACCCCGUCCGGAGCAAGACCAAGUAGGUUCCGUUGGGAAAGCCUCCGGGCUUUCCCGGAGGGUGGCCCGCCCAACCCUGGCAUCGGGGACGGAACGGGUAGGUCGCUAGAACCGUGGGGCAACUCGCGGUCCAGAUAAAUGGCCGUCGUCCCGGUUCCCCCGGGAUACAGAAUUCGGCUUAUAGGUCUGCUCUGGAU